UGUAUCAGGACAGCGUGAGUUAGGGUGUGUAUCAGGACAGUGGUGACGGUUCGAGAGUGUGUAUCAGGACAGUGUGUAUCAGGACAGUGUGAGGUUAGGAGUGCGUAUCAGGACCAGCGUGAGGUUAGAGAGUGUGUAUCAGGACAGUGUGAGGUUAGAGAGUGUGUAUCAGCAGUGUGAGGUUAGAGUGUGUAUCAAUGUGUUUUCUCUCUGCAGAGUAUCAGUGAGAGGACCUUCAAGCGUAGUAUCGUACAUGCAAGCAGCCAAACGGUCUCAAGUGGCAUUAACCAGUUGACAACCUCAACCCUACAGUAGGCCCCUGUGAUACCAGGAGAGGCACCAAGGUGGUGGCUCGCUGUCUGAAGCUAAUCAAACCCUACGUGAGGAAGGAGGUGGUCGAGGCUGAGGAUGACGAUGAUAACGACGAUGAUGAUGGGGGAGGAGCAAAUAGGAAGACCGUCCCCACAGAGGGGCGGAUCAUGGAGAGAGACUUCCUCUCACAGGCCUAUGGGAUCAUUGUGUCCUGCGGGACCAAGGGCAUCUCUCAGAGUGCGUUGCGUGCGAGGAUGUGCAUCGGCAAGCUGGAGUCUCGUAUGAUCUGCCGACUGCUGGAGAGGACAGACAUGAUCAAGGUAAAAUCUGUGUGUGUGUGUGUGGUGUGUGUCUGUGUCUGUGUGUGUCUGUCUCUCUCUCUGUGUGUGUGUGUGUGUCUGUGUCUGUGUGUGUUUGUCUCUGUGUGUGUGUGUGUGUGUGUGUCUGUCUGUGUCUGUGUGUGUGUGUACAUUACAUAAAUAGAUACACGGAAAUGUCAUCUACUGUGAUGUCACCGUUGUUUUGUCAUAGAUCAUCAUUGAUCUGUCAUUUUUCUGUCUGUUGAAGCUGAUUGAACUGUGUCUGUCUGUCAUUGAACUGUGUCUGUCUGUCAUUGAACUGUGUGAAGAUGCUGUCUGUCUGUCAGAACUGUGUUCUGUUCUGUCAGUUGAAGCGUUGAU
rnacentral:lncRNA from 1 species